rnacentral:rRNA from 1 species
CAGCAGCCGCGGUAAUACGUAGGUGGCAAGCGUUGUCCGGAAUUAUUGGGCGUAAAGGGCUCGCAGGCGGUUCCUUAAGUCUGAUGUGAAAGCCCCCGGCUCAACCGGGGAGGGUCAUUGGAAACUGGGAGACUUGAGUGCAGAAGAGGAGAGCGGAAUUCCACGUGUAGCGGUGAAAUGCGUAGAGAUGUGGAGGAACACCAGUGGCGAAGGCGGCUCUCUGGACUGUAACUGACGCUGAGGCGCGAAAGCGUGGGGAGCAAACAGGAUUAGAUACCCCAGUAGUCCCUGUCUCUUAUAC